rnacentral:rRNA from 1 species
CAGUCGCCGCGGUAAUACAGAGGGUGCAAGCGUUAAUCGGAAUUACUGGGCGUAAAGCGCGCGUAGGUGGUUUGUUAAGUUGGAUGUGAAAUCCCUGAGCUUAACUUAGGAAUUGCAUUCGAUACUGGGAAGCUAGAGUAUGGGAGAGGAUGGUAGAAUUCCAGGUGUAGCGGUGAAAUGCGUAGAGAUCUGGAGGAAUACCGAUGGCGAAGGCAGCAAUCUGGCCUAAUACUGACGCUGAGGUACGAAAGCAUGGGGAGCAAACAGGAUUAGAUACCCGCGUAGUCCCUGUCUCUUAUAA